GCUCUCGUAGCUCAAUAUAAGAGCGUCGGUCUUGUAAGCCGAAGGUCGGAAGUUCAAGUCUUCCCGAUCGCA
rnacentral:tRNA from 1 species